AGGAGAGUUUGAUCCUGGCUCAGGAUGAACGCUAGCUACAGGCUUAACACAUGCAAGUCGAGGGGCAGCAUGAUCGAAGCUUGCUUUGAUUGAUGGCGACCGGCGCACGGGUGAGUAACGCGUAUCCAACCUUCCCUAUAGUAGAGGAUAGCCCGGCGAAAGUCGGAUUAAUACUCUAUGUUUUCCAAUGCAGACAUCUAAGUUGGAACAAAGGUUCACCGCUAUAGGAUGGGGAUGCGUCUGAUUAGGUUGUUGGCGGGGUAACGGCCCACCAAGCCAACGAUCAGUAGGGGUUCUGAGAGGAAGGUCCCCCACAUUGGAACUGAGACACGGUCCAAACUCCUACGGGAGGCAGCAGUGAGGAAUAUUGGUCAAUGGGCGAGAGCCUGAACCAGCCAAGUAGCGUGCAGGAUGACGGCCCUAUGGGUUGUAAACUGCUUUUAUACGGGGAUAAAGUGAGGGACGUGUCCCUUAUUGUAGGUACCGUAUGAAUAAGGACCGGCUAAUUCCGUGCCAGCAGCCGCGGUAAUACGGAAGGUCCGGGCGUUAUCCGGAUUUAUUGGGUUUAAAGGGAGCGCAGGCCGACUGGUAAGCGUGACGUGAAAUGUAGCCGCUCAACGGCUGAACUGCGUCGCGAACUGUCAGUCUUGAGUGAGUUCGAUGUUGGCGGAAUUCGUGGUGUAGCGGUGAAAUGCUUAGAUAUCACGAAGAACUCCGAUUGCGAAGGCAGCCAACAAGGCCUUUACUGACGCUAAAGCUCGAAGGUGCGGGUAUCGAACAGGAUUAGAUACCCUGGUAGUCCCCU
rnacentral:rRNA from 1 species